AUUUGACGAAAAUAAACGAGAAAAGUGAUUGGUUGUGACUUUUAAAUCUAGCUACUUAAAAAUGUGCGAAUUGAUGCAACAGAAAAUGAUCGAGAGUUCAAAUAAUAAAGGGACUUUAGGGCGGAACAAUUUCACUUAAUGGUCACCUUUAUUUCGUAAAUCAAGAUUCAUAUAACCUAAAGUAAUGUUCGAUCGAAUUCUUCUAUUGUAUUCAACUUACCCCUCUCGAGUUCUCGUUGAGCCUAUUUAAUUAGUUUAAUUCCAUAUUUCUAUGCAAAUUAAAUUUAAUUAAACGUAACAUUGGUUCUAAGAAUUCACACACGACCGCAGCAAUCAAUAUAGGUAUCUCUACACGUUAUAUCGAUUUACCGGAUUUUAACAUGUGGUCUAAACAAAUAAUCCGCAUCUCUACGCAAUCAUUGUUCACAAAUCAUCUAAUUAGUGAUCAAGUAAUUAAAAGCAUUAAGCACAACAUUAAAAUCAACACAUAUAAAAUUAAAGCACUAGAAUCUUAAUUGCAUGAAAUAAAGGGUUCCACGUAAGUUACGUUGUUCGCCCUAAAUCAAACUUAGCUACUCAUAUUAAUGAAAUAAGAACCAGAUAAAUUCAUGGAAGACAUCACCGGGUUUAAUAGCAUCCAAAUUCUUGAUACAAUCCUUGAUGAAUUUUGUUGAAGAAAUCUGGAAUUUCGCUUUCUUUUCUGCCGUGUUUGCCUGUGCUGCUGUCCAACUUAUUUGUGUGAUUCUGGGAGUAUUGAUUUCAGUAAUGAAACCCCCAAUUCCUUCCCCUGUCGGCGUGUGUUUGUAUCGAUCUCCUCAAGGCUGCCUCGAUUUCUUGUGUUUAUAUUAAUAAUUUCAGCACCAAAGACAGCCGCAAUUCUUCUCUAGCCGAUUUAGUAGUGGAAUUAAUGGACUCCCAGAAUUUCUUUGUCUCAAAGCUGCCCUCAAUUUCUGUGCCUGCCUCCUUUUAUAUAAUGCACAGCCGCAAUUUUAUUUCACAGAAGAACUCCUCAGCUGGC
rnacentral:lncRNA from 1 species